AAGUCGUAACAAGGUUUCCGUAGGUGAACCUGCGGAAGGAUCAUUAACACGUAUCCAAACGUUAAAACCCCCCCCCGUGAACCUUCAUCCUGCUCUUGUAACCUGCGUAGUUCGCAAUCUCUGAUACAUCAUAGCCCGGAAAGUUGAAUAACCCCACAGUUUAAUGUGAAGCUCAAUGUAAUACAUUGGGUAAAAAAACCGAACAACUGUUAACAAUGGAUACCUUGGUUCUC
rnacentral:misc_RNA from 1 species